rfam:Hordeum vulgare subsp. vulgare, WGS project CAJW01000000 data, contig: morex_contig_1470654
AAAGNNNNCCCUCCGUCCCAAAAUUCUUGUCUGAUAUUUGUUUAGAUACAAAUGUAUCUAGUGAGAUUUAGUAUUUAGAUACAUCCAUUUCUAGACAAAGUUAAGACAAGAAUUUUAGGACGGAGGGAGUAUCAU